rnacentral:sRNA from 1 species
AGGCAGUGGCCAGAGUGACCCCAACAGAGUGUCCAGGGACUCAGGCCUCUGAUCAAGUUACCCCCAGAGGAUCAGAGAGGGGUUGACGAAGGAGAAGCAUUCAGAGGGCACUGGCUUCUGGACAGCAAUGAGUUCCCGGGCCACACGGCCCCGAAGCCGGCGAGGGAGGCAUGCUCCACCCGACUGACAAGAAGGCGGAUGGGGGCUCUGGCAGGGGACUGGCCUCAGCCCCCAAAGUGCCCCACAAACCUGCAGUGGAAGCCCACCAGGCCCCAGAAGCAGCCCUACAGUACAAGGAGACUGUGCCCCCUGGGAAUGGGGCCCCCGAUGUGUUUCAGACCCUCCAGCACGCUCUGAGCUCCCUGGAGGCAGCAGCUGCAGCCUGGCGCCACCGGCCCCCCAGCCAUCCCGGGCCUAUGGAUUUGGAAGGCACAAGCGAAGGGGGACCAGGUCCCCUUGGGAAGCAGGAAGGGGCAGGGAGCUGCCAGCGAGAGGCAGCUCGCCUGGCCGAGAGGAAUGCCUGGCUCCGGCUGGCCCUGAGUAGCCGAGAGGAUGAGCUGGUCCACACGCAGGCCUCCCUGGAGGCCA